GGGGAAUAUUGGACAAUGGGCGCAAGCCUGAUCCAGCCACGCCGCGUGAGUGAUGAAGGCCUUCGGGUCGUAAAGCUCUGUGGGGAGGGACGAACCGCUGGGUAUUAAUACCAUCCAGCAUGACGGUACCUCCUUAGCAAGCACCGGCUAACUUCGUGCCAGCAGCCGCGGUAAUACGAAGGGUGCAAACGUUGCUCGGAAUUAUUGGGCGUAAAGCGCACGUAGGCGGCUAUGUAAGUCUGAUGUGAAAUCCCUCGGCUUAACCAAGGAAGUGCAUCGGAAACUGCAUAGCUUGAGUACUUAAGAGGAUCGCGGAAUUCCCGGUGUAGAGGUGAAAUUCGUAGAUAUCGGGAGGAACACCAGUGGCGAAGGCGGCGAUCUGGGAAGAUACUGACGCUGAGGUGCGAAAGCGUGGGGAGCAAAC
rnacentral:rRNA from 1 species